rnacentral:sRNA from 1 species
CAUUCUGGAAAAGCAUUUGAGCGAUGCUUGGAAAUUAUCUUUUUAAAAUAUUUCAUUUUUUUAUGUAUAUGGGUGUUUUAUUUGCACUCUGUGUGUUCAGUACCUGAAGAGACCAGAAGAGGGCGUCAGAUCUCCUGGGACUGCGAUUACAGGUAGUAGUAAGAGGCCACGAAUGUGCUGGGAAUUAAACCUGGGUCCUCUGGAAGAGUAGCUCUUACUGGCUGAGCCAUCUCCCCAGCCUUCUGGCACAUUCUAAAGACUGACCAGUCUGUCCCGUCUCUGAUGAUGACAUUGAAGGUGCUAGGUCCCUAGGAGCCAGACUGGGCUGGCCAACCUGGCUGAUAUAACCCUACAGUCUUCAGCACUUGCGGACUUCAGAGAAAUUGUCCUUGAUUCUGAAAGCCUGCUGCUGUGAGAUCAGGCCAAGGCUAGUGGACCCGUCUUGUCCCAUGAUGCCGCUUCUGGCUCGGGAGACAGUGGGAAGAACCAGCAAACUGAGCCCUUCUCUUCACUGCCACUGCUGGGAGUUAAAAGACAUGCACUUCAGCAUCCUGUCCACCUCCCACCACUACAGCCUGAAGCGCCAGAGGGUGCUGACAGCCACCAGGGGGCAGAAGAGGGUGCAGGCCCACCUUCCAAGAGGACCUGUCUUCCCUUGUAGAGCCAGAGCUUUGUGUAGACCAGAGAGGUGGGGGCUAGAGAGCAAAGGAGGCUGAACAAGGUCACUCCAGGCCAGCAGAGAAAUCUUGGCUUGGAUCCUGCCUCUGCUGCUACCUCCCACAUGACUUCACCAGCCCGGCCCUCAUCGGAACAUGCAGAGCACUGGGCCCACUUCAGGCAUUGCCUCCAACGCGGAAAUUAACUUCCUGCCCGGAGAGGCUGCGCCCACACAGCUGCAGGUCUGGGCCGCCAGACCUGGGGCGCUCUGGAGUCCAGUUGAGGCCUCUCCUGCCCUCCUCCUGUCUGCAGAUGGAGAGAUUGAGACCCGGCCAGGACAGGGGGGCUUGGAUAACAUUGCGCAAUAAAUCCAAAUCGGGGACAGGGCCAGCUGGGCCUGCAGACGCUAGGCCUGCUUGCUUCAUGGAGUCAUCUUCCAGCCUGCGUCUCAAUCCCACCAAGCACUGGGGUCCUGCAGGGCUGGAGAAAGACAGCUGUUAUCUAGUCCUGAAGGUCUUCCGGUGCCAGCCCCAGGCUCCGGGCACUGUGGCCACCAGCUUCGGAAGUGAGAAGUUUCAUAUUGUUUUCCAAGCCUGAGGUGUGGGUGUUUCUGGACCAUGUGGGUAUUAGGGACCCCAUCGCCAGUGCGAGGCCUGGCAGGCAUACGGUAGGAGUGAGGAAACAAGGACGUUCCUGGCGUAGUGUCUGUCUCUCCAGCUUCUCUCUCCCUCAGGUUAUAGAGCGGAGAGUGGAUAACCCAGCAGCUGUCCUCUGGGCCAGCAUCCACCCAGCUCCAACAUAGAAGCAUAGCUAGAGACUACUCUCAGACCCAAGCGGGUGACCCAGGAGGAUUUCUUUGUCCCUCAGAGUGUCAAAUAGAAGUAACUGUGGAUUCCUGCUGGAGCUCUGAGAGUAACCAACCCCCUACCCCUUCGGGCCUCAGUUUCCCCUCAGCUGAGAGGCAGGGAAGAGAACUGUAAGGCUGCAAGCUCAGCCCAGCCCUGGGAUAGUCCCAGCUCAAGGCUGGGAGAUGAAUGAAGGUCUGGAGUCUAGGGCCUGGUCUUCCUUUCAGCCACCAAAAAGGGUUCAUUUUGUGCCUUGGGCAGGUCGCCCAGGCAAGGAGGCCACUGGCUGCCAUUCUCCAGGACCUCCUCCCGUCUGCAAGAAGCAUUACCUCAUCGGGAAGCCAUUCCGGAAAAGGGCUUCAGAGCUCCAUGAGUGGGAAUGAAGAGGGCUUUCCAAGAGCCUCCUGGCCACCCAGGAGCCCAGCCAAGGCAGACAGUGCCUGUCCAGUGACCGCUGCAGGGAGGUGACAAGGCUGGCUUGGACUGAGCAGGCAGAAGGGACAGUCGUGCCCGAAGCCAGCAGCUUCCAGGUAGACAAAGUAGAUAUUUCAAAAGCUGAAACAAAAUGACAUGAGAGGGGCUGGGAAAAUGCAGGGCAGAGUCACCAAGCCCUGACCCUCUCCAGCCCACGUCCCUGCCUGCAAAAUACAUUAGGCACACCAAGCUGUACCCUGCUGUCUAAUGAUACACACCCGGAUGACAUGAUUGGCCACAUGAUCAGGGGUGGGGAGGGAACUCUAAGGACAGCUUGGGGUGGGGAGAUGUGCUAAAGGCGAUCAGGAGAGUUCCCUAACCACUGGCCCAGUGACGACGAUACUACGGGACACUCUUGGAGCCUUGAUAUUUCUCAUCUGGAGAAUGGAGCAAAUAAGCAUCCCUUGAAAAAGACAUCUGAGAACACAGGCACUGACAGGCUGGUGCUUUUGGGGUCACAUGGGUGGGUCCUCCUCUGCCUGGGUCAGGGGACUUCUCCUAGAAUGAGCACAGGCUUCUCUCAUUGCCCCAGGGGGAGUGAAAUUCUGCCUUCCAACUUCUCCCAACCACAGAACUUCCUGUGCUUGCCAUCUUUCCCCAAAUCCUACCUGGAGAAUGUCCAUGCACCCUGAAAAUAAAUCUAGAAGAGAUUG